GUAACUUGAAUGGACCAUAGAUAUUGGCCCAGCGAUGCAGUGUAAGCUCAGAAUGUAGGUCUGUGCCUGCCUGCACGGAACAAUAGGACUCGGGCAAAGAUUAGAAAGAGGCCAAGGAAGUCAUGUGAUUGCCACAUACCAAAAAGAGGAUGCUUGAUACAGCAAGGCAAUGCGAAUGCCAAACGAUCCAAAAGUCUUACUCUUUGCAUAGGGAAUACAAUUUACUUGAACCAAACACACCAGCUAAUAUCAUAAUCAUUCUUGAAAUAAAACUUGGAAAAGAUAACAAAUAAUUGAGGAGAUAACUGAAUUCCAGCAAGAGAAAUGUAUAAAAAUGGAAAAAUGGUGCAGGCCUAUGCAGGGUAAAACCUUUGGGGAUAUAGAAAGAUCAGAUUUAUGCCGUUUGGUUGCAAUAGAAGUAAGACUGCCUUGGUCAACAGAGCAAGGGCUUCUUUUGUUUUCCAUCAUCUUCUUCACCACUCACUUAUUUUCCCUACAAU
rnacentral:lncRNA from 1 species